rnacentral:rRNA from 1 species
AAUGAACGUUGGCGGCGUGGAUUAGGCAUGCAAGUCGAGCGAGAAGGGUCCGAUGCUUGCAUUGGACCUGGAAAGCGGCGAAAGGGAGAGUAACACGUAGGGUACCUGCCCCCAGGCUCGGGAUAUCGGUGGGAAACUGCCAGUAAUACCGAAUAAUGUCUCCGGACCAAAUGGUGUGAUUCCGCCUGGGGAUGGUCCUGCGUCCUAUUAGCUAGUUGGCGGGGUAAUGGCCCACCAAGGCCAAGAUGGGGUAGCGGGGCGUGAGAGCGUGGCCCGUCUCACUGGGACUGAGACACUGCCCAGACACCUACGGGAGGCUG